CAAUUGACAAAUGCGCAUAGACAGGCACAAACUUCGAAUGCGCUGGGGGUUGGAACUAAGGGAAGUGUUUGGCAGGUCUCAAAGCACUUGUUUCUCGGAGCUGAGGCCAACUGUCUGAAGCCCGCAUCCUCAUUGGGCAUGAUCUUCGUCCACACUUCAUCCCUCACCACUCUUCCCCGGUUUUCUUCCGUCUUCUAAAACCCUCCCCACCGGAGCCCCUACACACGCAUAAUUACUCUCCCAACCAUGCAGCGCGAGGGAGGGCUACAUUUUUAGAAAGAUUUGUUUCCUUGAGCCGACUCACGUAUGACACCCCCAUACCCCCCUCCCCCCAAAAAAACUAUUUCCUGCAGCUGCUUCAACAGUUUCCAACUUGGGGAACUGUCACUCCCGUCCACAGUGGAUAGCCCUCUAAGCCAGUCUCUGGAGUCAAGGAUUUUGUUUGUCUGUUUAAGCUCCCCCCUGUGCCCCAAAAAUGCCCAGAGUAAAAGAACCCCCAAAUGCAUGCUAAGUGCAUGCAAAUCACCAAGAACUCCCAGACAGUGGGGCAAAAACUUCUGCGCCCGGGGACAGUGCCAACUCCCCGCGCCCUCUGCCCGGCCCCAGCCGCUACCUUGGUGCCGGGGGAGCCACGCCGGUGUGGGAGAGCAGGGCGAGGAGAGGGGUUACCAGCUGCUGGGUAAUCCCAUGUCGGUGAAGAGAGAGCUCGUUCCGUUAGGAUGGAAGCGGAACACCCACACCUCCUCUCGGCGUGCGCUCUCUCUCUCUCCACCCCCCGCCUCCUCCUCCUCCACCACCUCCACCUCCUCCUCUCCUCCCACCCCAGCUAGCUUGAGGAAACGCUUCAGCAGUACAUCCACAUGGUUACUGCACUUUGAAGCGGCUUCUUGCGGCUUAUAUAGGCCGGGAAGCUCCCUGGGUAAUGUAGUCGGAGUCCGGAGUCGUGGCGACGCUGGGGACGCCGCAGAGGGACUACAAGUCCCACAAUCCCUUGGGCGCCCGGGCUGGGCUCUAAAUAAUCGCGCGCGGGGACGGGGGAGGGGCGUCCUGCUGGGAGUCCCAGCGUCAAACCUGGUUUAUUGUGGAAGGACUGCCAGACUUGGAGCCCGCGACCUCAACCAGCCCUGGAGGGCGCCCCCGCCCCAUGGGGACUGUCCUCCUCCGGCUGCCCCCUUUCCUUUGCCUCCAGGUAGCACUUGGGGAGAGGGGUGGAGGGGAAAGCAAGCUCGUAUUUCUGCCUUGGGAAGUUCUUACAAGCUGUUACCCACCUUCCCCUCCCGGUUUGAGCCCCUGAGCCAAGAAUUUCAGAAAUCCAGGGCACAAAAACGCCAGUGUUUGCGGUCAAGGAUUAAAGGCGCGAGGUUGUCUAUUUAAUCUGCUCCGCCCUUCUCAGGUUUGCGCAGAAAACUAAGUCUGGGAGCGACGGUCCACGCAAGCGGGGACACGGGCAAGUCGCUCGAGAGCACUUUUUUCAACCCGAACUGCGUGUCCUUCUUCGCCCCGCAGGAGGUAAGAAAACGCGAGCCUCUCAGGGGCACAAAUAAAGGGGCCGUGUUGUGACUUGCCAGCCCUGAGAUUGGGAGGCAGAAAAUAAAUACAAACUGUGACCUCAGCCCUGACCCUGCUUCAAGCAGCCCCGCUGUUCCUGGGAGCUCUAAAUGCUUAAGUAAAUAAACCGCUAACCAGAAAAAUAAGGACUUCCGAAAGACCGGCUCCCACGAAGACGCGCGUCCAGGCCGGGUGCCCUUCAGCAGCUCGGAAGGAGGCUUCUGGAGCGAGGUGGGUUUCAGCCCACUGCCAAGUGGUGCCUAGGCUCCAGUUUUUGGAAGAAGGGCUGAGAUCGAAGGCAAAGCCAGCCGGCUGCCCUCCCUGCCUCAGAUGACGUGCAUUCAUUCCACAAAUGUUUCCUAAAUGUCUACUGGGUGCCAGGCGCUGUGCCAGGCAUUGGGGCAUACUGGUGCAGAAACCGAGGGCUGGGAGAAAUCAGCCAUGGUCUUACUACUCCCAUCCAAGUGAUUGGACAAGACUGUGCAGAUACGGUAAUUGUGGCCACCAAAGGGAUUGGUCAGUUUUGCCAUCCUGCUUGAAAUGAGCCACCCUAGAGAUGGGAAAAGAAGAGCCUACCACCACCAAGGAAGGAGAGACCCAAAGGAGACAGCACAGUGGGAUUCCUGGCCCACAGAGAAAGAAAGCUGAGUGCCUCUGGGCAGACACUGAGGGCCAGGGAGAGGCAUGCCUGCGAGCACAGCUGGCUAUCCUGAUGGAAGAACUGUAUCCUGAGUUUUCCUGAGCCUGAAUUGUAACUGUUGCUUCCCUAAUAAAUCCCUUAAUGGUGAGUAUGGUCUCGAGUUCUGUGUAGCCAUUGCAAUGAAUUACUGGACCCAGUAGAGAGUGCUGUGGAAGGGAUGGUUGGUAUCAGAACUGGUAAAGAUGGCAGAGAGGAGGUAUUUCUGACCUCUGCAUUGUAGGAAUCAGCCUUGGCCUGCUCAUCUUGAUUGUCCUUCCCCCGGUGAAGUUAGAGGAGGUCAGAUACCACUCCCACACCCUUUUUACAAUGUAGAAGGAAUGAUAAAAUUUAAAAAAUCACCAUUUUGCAACUUUAGUAUAAUUGAUUUAGACAAAAAUUGUCAACAGAUUCUGUCUUAGUUAGCUUGUGCUGCUGUAACAGAAAUAGCACAAGUGGGUGGCUUUAAUGAGCAGAAAUUUUUUCACAGUUCAGGAGGCUGUUCUUGUGCGCUGCUGAGUUGACUCUGACUCAGAGACUCGGACAGAGUAGAACUGCCCCAUAGAUUCCUAGGCUGUAAUCUUUACAGGAGCAGAUUGCCAAGUCUUUUCUCCCACAGAGCUGCAGGUGGGUUCGAACUGCCCACCUUUCAGUUAACAGCCAACCAAUCAACCAUUGUCUCACCAGGACUCCUUUCAAGAGACUAGAAGUCUGAAUCCAGGCCUUUGGCUCUAGGCGAAGGAUUGAUCUCUCCCCCUCCCCAUCCCC